GAGAGAUGGAAAGGAGAUGCAGCCGUUUGCAGGUUGGACAUGGUGGUCAGGGUUACAAGUCAAGCAACGUCAUCGAUCACUGGUCACCGGUCAAUUGCAAAGGGUAGCGGGAAAAGAAGAGAGAAAAGGUGUAGCAGCAGUUGAUUGAAAGUUUAUAUAUCUUCUCUCUAUCCAAUGGUUUAAUUUAAGUUGAUCAAAUUCUACUACUAAUAUCCCAUUAGCAUUCCUAAUUCCUAGGUACUAUGUUAAUAUACCUAUACCUCUCCCAUAAAGAAUAAACAUGAAGGAUCGAAAAAAAGUAUCAUUUGGAUUACAUAGGCCGAUACGAUCAUAGUAGGGGGAAAAAUGGGAUCCGAGUCUUUUCCUCAACACCCAUCACUCCAAUCGAUUCAUAGUUAUUUAGGUGAAAGCACGUCACGAGAUGAUGAUCCAAUGGGUUGAAGAAGGUACGAAAAAUGAGGUGCUGUCAAAAACCCAGAGAACAAGACACCAAGAACCAUUAUACGAUCACUUCAUCACAUGUCACUCACCGAGGGGAAGACCUGGGCGAUGGCGAUGACGAUGGCACUGAGGAACGGUCGACUUGCACGGUGUUCGUUGUCUGCAAACAAGGAGCUUUACUGUGAAACCGGGAAGUUUGUAAAUGAAAUUUGUCCAGUCAAAUAAACCCUCCAACCCUAGUUUUCAAAUGAGUGAAGAGCAAUGAGAAAUCGAGGGACAGAGGCCGUGGCAAUUCGAACUAAAGACUAAGAGCAGAUGGGGAAGUGAUAGCAGAAAACAUCUCAGAACUUGAAGGAGAUGGAAGGCAACGUGGGAAAAUCCGUAGUGAAAACGAUUGGUGAAUACCAAUAUCCAUGGCGAGAAAAGUUGGAAAAAUACAAAGAUGAGCUUUCCAAGGGGGUUUGGGGCUACUGGAAUCUAGGGGUGUGGAAGCCGCUUGGCAUUAGUGCCCGCCGUUGGGCACACCUCCGCAUGGAAGUCCUGCUUGCUGGUGAAGAUUGGCUGUAUGAUCCAGCAAGGAAAGAGAUGAGGAACAAGAGGAAAGGGCACGUGUGACAGAAUAUCAGCAGAGAAAAGGGCUAAUACUGCUGAGUUGAUGAAGAAAAUGCCAGAAAUGUUAUUGGAUUACAGGAAACGCAGAUGGGAGAAGAAGAUGAAGGAGGGUGAUGCAAGAGACUAAAACCAGUUGUGUGGAGUUCCCAGGGGGAAGUGGUGGUUUGUGCGGAGGGUCUUCUUUCUUGAUUGACUUAUUUCUGUUGGUAAUAAACUAUGUUUCUGAGCCAUCUGAUUUGAAAUGAGUAGUUUUGUCUUGGGGAAUUAUUGGGGCUUCAGUGAUGGAAACUAAGCUCAAAGUGUGGAUCAAUAUGUAUUGGAGAAUCAAAUUCAUUCUUCUGUCAUAUACACGGGGAUCUAGCUUGUGAAGAAUGGGUGUCAAUGAUCAUUUUUAUGAAUUUUAGCUAGGCUCCAUUAAUUUUAAAGUCUUCUGUAAAGGUAGUUCUUCUGUCAUAUACAUGGAGAUCUAGCUUGUGAAGAAUGGGUUUCAAUGAUCAUUUUUAAUGAAUUUUAGCUAGGCUAUAUUAAUGUUUUCAAUAAAGUCAUCUGUAAAAGUAGUGUAUCUGUUCGAUUUUUGGCACUUAAUUGAAGUAAAUUGAAGUGAUUUCUAGAAAA